CUACCCCGAGAAAUUGGUAUGGCAAUUCUGAAUCAUCCGAAAUCCUUUGGGAACGGCAACAUUGCCGCUUCUAUGGGUAUUCCGUUAGAGCAUGCCUGUUUGGAGUGCCGUGAAUUCUCCAUCCCAAGCGCUUUUAUCAAGAAUUGCUAGCGACGGGUCGAGAUGGGCGUUGUAUAACGGCUUUUCUUCUCUAGAAAAGCUCGCCCGAAAAAAGGCCAACGCCUCUGGGCCAUUUUGCAUCCCCUUUUCGAAGGGGAAAACCGGCCAAGCGCGUUCUGAUCUCAGGGAUAGCAUGAUACUGCAUUUGCCACGCUGGAAGAAAGAUUUGGUUGGGGUUAUCCCGCGUGCCUCUUUUUUUUUUUUUUGCAAAAAAGAAAAAAAAUCCCCCCCCCUUUCUUUUUGGGAUCAACCGCUGGAAUUAACCCCCCUGAAAUUGGAGGAAAUUAAAUUCCCAUAAAAAAAAUCACCCUU
rnacentral:misc_RNA from 1 species